rnacentral:rRNA from 1 species
GUUAUCGUUUAUUUGAUAGUACCUUACUACAUGGAUAACCGUGGUAAUUCUAGAGCUAAUACAUGCUAAAAACCUCGACUUCGGAAGGGGUGUAUUUAUUAGAUAAAAAACCAAUGCCCUUCGGGGCUCCCUGGUGAUUCAUAAUAACUUAACGAAUCGCAUGGCCUUGUGCCGGCGAUGGUUCAUUCAAAUUUCUGCCCUAUCAACUUUCGAUGGUAGGAUAGUGGCCUACCAUGGUUUCAACGGGUAACGGGGAAUUAGGGUUCUAUUCCGGAGAAGGAGCCUGAGAAACGGCUACUACAUCCAAGGAAGGCAGCAGGUGCGCAAAUCACCCAAUCCCGACACGGGGAGGUAGUGACAAUAAAUACUGAUACAGGGCUCUUUUGAGUCUUGUAAUUGGAAUGAGUACAAUUUAAAUACCUUAACGAGGAACAAUUGGAGGGCAAGUCUGGUGCCAGCAGCCGCGGUAAUUCCAGCUCCAAUAGCGUAUAUUAAAGUUGUUGCAGUUAAAAAGCUCGUAGUUGAACCUUGG